rnacentral:misc_RNA from 1 species
AAUUCUCAACCUCAUAAGCUUUUGUUUAUUGAGGAUUGGAUGUGAGGGUUGCUGGCUUGUAACAGAGUUCAGCUCCCUUGAAAUGUAUUAGUGGACUUAGCCGUUUGUGGGCCACAUUGGUGUGAUAAUUAUCUACGCCUUUAUGGUUUGCAGCUUGGGAGGUUGCAAUGUAACAGUUGCUCUUCCUGUUGUCAAGUGCUGUCCGCUUCGAACCGUCCUAAGUUAUUGGACAAUUCAUUGACUU